ACCCUUGUGGAGGAGGACGCCGAAGGUGGGGCUAAUGACUGGGGUGAAGUCGUAACAAGGUAGCCGUACCGGAAGGUGCGGCUGGAUCACCUCCUAACAGGGAGACAACAAAAUGUUUAAUAUUAUUAUUUUGUCACCUUAGGUCGAUCGGUAUCUCACGUUCUUAAUUUGUUAAGAAUUUCAUUUCCUAAGUUUUUCUAGGUCACACCCAUUAUUUUUCCUGGGCCAUUAGCUCAGGUGGUUAGAGCGCACCCCUGAUAAGGGUGAGGUCCCUGGUUCAAGUCCAGGAUGGCCCAUAUCUCUAUGUUGGGGGUAUAGCUCAGUUGGUAGAGCGCCUGCUUUGCAAGCAGGAUGUCAGCGGUUCGAGUCCGCUUACCUCCACUGAUUACCACCUCUUCCAUAACAGGUAGAAAGGAAAUGUUUUGAAUUGUGAUCAUUAUUCUGAACGAAUCUAGCUUCCUAAUGAAAUCAUUAAGAUGCUGGACUCAUUGAAUUAAUUUCAUUGUUUUCAGAGAACCUUGACAACUGCAUAGAUUAUUUUUAAAGACAAUAAGCAUCUUUAAUGAUGCAGAUUUAUUAUUUGUGCUAAUGCAUUAAUAACAAUUCUAUUAAGCUGAUGCUUCAAUUUUUGAAGUUAUUGGUCAAGCUACAAAGGGCUCACGGAGGAUACCUAGGCACACAGAGGCG
rnacentral:misc_RNA from 1 species